CCUACGGGUGGCAGCAGUGGGGAAUAUUGGACAAUGGGCGAAAGCCUGAUCCAGCCAUGCCGCGUGUGUGAAGAAGGCCUUCGGGUUGUAAAGCACUUUCAGUGGGGAAGAAAGCCUUGGGGCUAAUACCCUCGAGGAAGGACAUCACCCACAGAAGAAGCACCGGCUAACUCCGUGCCAGCAGCCGCGGUAAUACGGAGGGUGCGAGCGUUAAUCGGAAUUACUGGGCGUAAAGCGCGCGUAGGCGGUCUGAUAAGCCGGUUGUGAAAGCCCCGGGCUCAACCUGGGAACGGCAUCCGGAACUGUCAGGCUAGAGGGCAGGAGAGGAAGGUAGAAUUCCCGGUGUAGCGGGGAAAUGCGUAGAGAUCGGGAGGAAUACCAGUGGCGAAGGCGGCCUUCUGGACUGACACUGACGCUGAGGUGCGAAAGCGUGGGUAGCAAACAGGAUUAGAUACCCUUGUAGUC
rnacentral:rRNA from 1 species